GUUCAUUUAUGUUUAAGUUUAUUUUGAUUCAUAUUGUUCUGGAACUUCGUUGUAACAUGGUGGACAUAUUACACACUGAAACGAGCCGAAGAGUCAAUUCUUUAAUCAUCGAGGGCCAUACAUAUCGGAAGGUUAGUGUCCUGAAACAUAAGAACAUAUCUUACGAAUGUACCACAAAUCGUGUAAACCCAGAGUCACCACGGAUUAUAUUGUCAAAACACUGAUCGAGCAUAAACAUGUGGCAGAUGUCCGAAAGACAGAGGUUAAAGAACUACGGGUACUGUCAAGAAAAAGUCUGGAGGUGUAUCUUGUGGGCCUUCUUCCAUCUCCCAGUAGUGAGCAGGGGACAACAGUUAUAUACAUGUUAUGAUUGACAUUUCAUUACAUUUGUACAAAUGGCUAAUGGAAGAGGUCUUAAAUGAUAAAUGAAAAAUAACAUGACUUGGAUGGAGAGUUCUCUCAUUUACACUCAUACCACAUCUUCUUAUAUCUAUUCACCUGUAAUUUACCUGUAAAAAAAAAUCGGCGCAAAUGAAAAAAAUAAUCGGCGCAAAUGAAAGAAAAAAUCGGCGCAAUAAAUGCAGAUCGGCGCAAAUGCAAAACGCCGUUAUAGUUGUCGAGGUCUAACAUGUUGGUCACAUACCACACAAGGAAAAGCCAUUGUGAUAUUAAAUAUCAAACGCAUUUUGUCCUCUCUUUUACAGAAAGGAUUCGGCAAAUCAAACAACAUUUCUCAAUUUGAGAAAUUUUAAGAACUUAAAAGAAAAAUAAAGUGUUGAUGUAUCAGCUUGGGAAUCGGCUUGUACACAAGAUGAAAGACUUGUCAGGACCCCAGUCAAUAGAGAGAAAGUGAUAAUUUAAUACUGCUCAGCUGAUUAAUGUUGAUGUCUGAAUUCUUU
rnacentral:lncRNA from 1 species